CGACCGGCGCACGGGUGAGUAACACGUAUGCGACCUGCCCGUAGCAGGGGGAUAAGCGGAAGAAAUUCCGUCUAAUACCGCGUAACAACCCAUGGAGGCAUCUCUGUGGGUUUAAAGGAAGCGAUUCCGGCUACGGAUGGUCAUGCGUCGCAUUAGCUUGUUGGCGGGGUAACGGCCCACCAAGGCGACGAUGCGUAGGGGUUCUGAGAGGAAGGUCCCCCACACUGGUACUGAGACACGGACCAGACUCCUACGGAAGGCAGCAG
rnacentral:rRNA from 1 species